rnacentral:rRNA from 1 species
UACAGAGGUGGCAAGCGUUGUUCGGAAUUACUGGGCGUAAAGGGCGCGUAGGCGGCCCUCUAAGUCAGACGUGAAAUCCCCCGGCUUAACCUGGGAACUGCGUCUGAUACUGGUUGGCUUGAGUGCAGGAGAGGAACGCGGAAUUCCAGGUGUAGCGGUGAAAUGCGUAGAUAUCUGGAGGAACACCGGUGGCGAAGGCGGCGUUCUGGACUGCAACUGACACUGAGGAACGAAAGCCAGGGGAGCAAACGGG